rnacentral:misc_RNA from 1 species
GAUGAAGAACGCAGUGAAAUGCGAUAAGUAAUGCGAAUUGCAGAAUUCAGUGAGUCAUCGAAUCUUUGAACGCACAUUGCGCCCUGUGGUAUUCCGCAGGGCAUGCCUGUUCGAGCGUCAUUUCAACCCUCAAGCUCUGCUUGGUGUUGGGCCCCGCCCGCUCGCGGCCGGCCCUAAAGACAGUGGCGGCAGCGCCUGGCUCCAAGCGUAGUACAGCUCUCGCUCUGGGGCUAGGCGGUAGCCUGCCAGAACCCCCCUUCUAUGGUUGACCUCGGAUCAGGUAGGGAUACCCGCUGAACUUAAGCAUAUCAAUAAGCGGAGGA